GCGGGUGUAGCUCAGUGGUAGAGCGUCACGUUGCCAACGUGAAUGUCGUGGGUUCGACCCCCAUCACCCGCUCCA
rnacentral:tRNA from 6 species